AUUGAACGCUGGCGGCAUGCUUUACACAUGCAAGUCGAACGGUAACAGGGAGCUUGCUCCGCUGACGAGUGGCGAACGGGUGAGUAAUGCAUCGGAACGUGCCGUGUAAUGGGGGAUAACGUAGCGAAAGUUACGCUAAUACCGCAUACGCCCUGAGGGGGAAAGUGGGGGACCGCAAGGCCUCACGUUAUACGAGCGGCCGAUGUCGGAUUAGCUAGUUGGUGGGGUAAAGGCCUACCAAGGCGACGAUCCGUAGCGGGUCUGAGAGGAUGAUCCGCCACACUGGGACUGAGACGCGGCCCAGACUCCUACGGGAGGCAGCAGUGGGGAAUUUGGACAAUGGGGGCAACCCUGAUCCAGCCAUGCCGCGUGAGUGAAGAGGGGCCUUCGGGUUGUAAAGGCUCUUUCAGGUGGAAAGAAAUCGCAUCUUUUAAUACAAGGGUGUGGAUGACGGUACCAUCAGAAGAAGCACCGGCUAACUACGUGCCAGCAGCCGCGGUAAGCACG
rnacentral:rRNA from 1 species